rnacentral:rRNA from 1 species
AUUGAACGCUGGCGGCAUGCUUUACACAUGCAAGUCGAACGGUAACAGGCCGCAAGGUGCUGACGAGUGGCGAACGGGUGAGUAAUGCAUCGGAACGUGCCCAGUCGUGGGGGAUAACGCAGCGAAAGCUGCGCUAAUACCGCAUACGAUCUAUGGAUGAAAGCGGGGGACCGUAAGGCCUCGCGCGAUUGGAGCGGCCGAUGUCAGAUUAGGUAGUUGGUGGGGUAAAGGCUCACCAAGCCAACGAUCUGUAGCUGGUCUGAGAGGACGACCAGCCACACUGGGACUGAGACACGGCCCAGACUCCUACGGGAGGCAGCAGUGGGGAAUUUUGGACAAUGGGGGCAACCCUGAUCCAGCAAUGCCGCGUGCAGGAAGAAGGCCUUCGGGUUGUAAACUGCUUUUGUACGGAACGAAACGGUCUGGGUUAAUACCCUGGGCUAAUGACGGUACCGUAAGAAUAAGCACCGGCUAACUACGUGCCAGCCGCCGCCGUAAUAC